AGACUUUGGUUUAUGAUGUAGAGAAGUGGGCAGACGAAGCAAAGACAACAAAAAACAGAAGUGAUGUGGAUGUCUUCGCCUUAUAGCAUGACACUGUCGAUCUAACAACAACGAGAAGGGCGUUCAACAUUAUCCUGCUAGCAAGGACUCUUCAAGAGAACAGAGGAAUCUUGUGGCAGAGAUGGCCAACCAUUAUAAAUACCAAAUACCUUUCAACUCAUCCUGGUUCCUUCAGAGAACUGUCCUGCUUGUGUGCUACUGAAAAAUACGACAUGUGGCCUAAACGAAGAGGC